GACGAACGCUGGCGGCGUGCUUAACACAUGCAAGUCGAACGGAAAGGCCCUGCUUGCAGGGUACUCGCGUGGCGAACGGGUGAGUGACACGCGGGUGUACUGCCCUGCACUUCGGGAUAAGCCUGGGAAACUGGGUCUAUUACCGGAUAGGAGCCAUUUUUAGUGUGAUGGGUGGAUAGUUUUUUCGGUGUAGGAUGAGCUCGCGGCCUAUCAGCUUGUUGGUGGGGUAAUGGGCUACCAAGGCGGCGACGGGUAGCCGGCCUGCGAGGGUGGACGGCCACAUUGGGACUGAGAUACGGCCCAGACUCCUACGGGGAGCAGCAGGGGGGAAUAUUGCACAAUGGGGGCAAGCCUGAUGCAGCGACGCCGCGGGGGGGAUGACGGGCUUCGGGUUGUAAACUCCUUUCGCUAGGUACGAAGCUGUUUGUGACGGUACCUAGAUAAGAAGCACCGGCUAACUACGUG
rnacentral:rRNA from 1 species